AUUGAACGCUGGCGGCAGGCCUAACACAUGCAAGUCGAACGGUAGCACAGAGAGCUUGCUCUCGGGUGACGAGUGGCGGACGGGUGAGUAACGUCUGGGAAACUGCCCGAUGGAGGGGGAUAACUACUGGAAACGGUAGCUAAUACCGCAUAACGUCGCAAGACCAAAGUGGGGGACCUUCGGGCCUCACACCAUCGGAUGUGCCCAGAUGGGAUUAGCUAGUAGGUGGGGUAAUGGCUCACCUAGGCGACGAUCCCUAGCUGGUUUGAGAGGAUGACCAGCCACACUGGAACUGAGACACGGUCCAGACUCCUACGGGAGGCAGCAGUGGGGAAUAUUGCACAAUGGGCGCAAGCCUGAUGCAGCCAUGCCGCGUGUAUGAAGAAGGCCUUCGGGUUGCAAAGUACUUUCAGCGGGGAGGAAGGCGGUGAAGUUAAUAACUUCACCGAUUGACGUUACCCGCAGAAGAAGCACCGGCUAACUCCGUGCCAGCCGCCGCUGUAA
rnacentral:rRNA from 1 species